rnacentral:lncRNA from 1 species
CCUUUGAAGCCAAUCACAUCAUUUGGGCCUACAUUAUUUACCAUUUCAGGCAAAUUAGUGGGACAACCUUAAAAAUAGUUUCCUUAGAGACAAAGAGUAAGCAAUCAGAAAAAAGAGAAUUUUUCAGGGUUGGGAUUUCUUUACCUAUCGGUGGAGAAAUCCUACUUGUAGCCAUGGCGGAAAGUUUCGUUUGAUCUCAACAAUUCUCUUGCUGUGAUUUUCUAUAUAGUUUUGGUUUUGGUCUUUAUGAUCUGCAGUGAGGUGUUUGGCUGAGAUAUGAUUUUGUUUAUGUUAGGAGUGUGAACUGUGUGAUUGUGUCUCUGAUUGCAUAGUUUCAAUUUUGCGCCUCAAAUCUUCUUUUCAGUCUAUUGUUGUUAAAGGUGGUGCCAAUUGAUAGAUUACUCAAAGCUGGAGUGCGAAUCUAUCUCCCUAUUGAGACUCCAUGACUAUACAAGACUGCAAACGCCAUAACAUGCUUUCUUCGCUUUCUUCACCUUGUCAGUUGGCGAUUCUGGUCUUGAGCCUGAUAUAGGUUGGGUGGAUUUUGUUGUUUGAAUUGUUUCGUUUUUCUUCCCUUCCUAUCAGGAUGUUGCUCUUUUGAGUAUGUUUUUUAGAUUUGAGUUGCUGGUUGUUUGUUUAAAUUUUAUCAUCGGAACGUAUGGUCGUUGGCAGUCGGUCAUUCUUUGGCAUGCUGCAUAUCGAUGCCGAGGGAGAAGAAUGGAGUGGUGGAUUGUUCUAAAAACUUUUUGACAUGGGCUGGGUUCUAUUCAGGCUUGGGCUGAGAUUUUUAUUUUAUUAUUGGGCCAGUUUAGCUUUAGAAUCAAUUUGUCCAUUUGAAUUUUAAAUGCAACUAACUUGUAUUAUAAAAAAACCUUAAAAAUAUUUAUUUACUGCAAAUUAAUGUUUAUUUAAUUUAAUAAUUGAGAUUUUCAGUUUUCAACUGAAAAGAAUUUAAUUGUAGAUUUUCCUUCUUUUAGAAGUGGACGAGAUGGCUUUGCAUCAUUUUGGAUAACACCACUCACCACCGAAUUCCAACAAGUCCAACAUUUAAGAGAUGAGGGAAGAUUGAAGUUUUGAAUUUCCGUG